rnacentral:RNase_P_RNA from 1 species
UGUAGUGUUCGUGCUAGGGGAAUAAAUAACCCUAGGUAAGUUAUACUUAACGGCUCCGAGGUAACCUUAAAUGGUUAUAGUAGGUAUAAAAGUGCCAUAGAGACGAGCUCAUUUGGAAACGAAUGAGGUGGAACGCGGUAAACCCCACGAGCGAGAAACCCAAAUUUUGGUAGGGGAGUCUUUGACGACGAAAGAUAAGGAGUCAAGGGAUCGAAAGAUAGAUAAAUGUUUGCCACCAUUUAUGGUACAGAACAUGGCUUAUUAGA